UUACUUAUCGCAUCAUCUCGCCCCAAGAUUUUUUCAUCGUUCUUGACAUGAAAAAAUGCUGGGUUUUCAGACGGGAACCUAAAUGCUGGGUUUUCUUCUUCCCAACUCUCCGAUUCACAUCUAAAUUCCACUCUUGGUGUGAGCGUUUUUCUCUCCGUACGGGAGAGGGCUCCACCAUUUUGGGUGGUUUCUUUUUCAUCGAGGGUUUGAUGGCGACAAAGGGUUUAAGCAGCUCCUUUCGCCGAUUGCCAUUGUACGAGACAGGGUGGAUGCUUGGCUAAGGGGGUCUCGACUGAAUGAGAACCAAAAGGGUUCGGCACUGCUGAUGGGCGAUGAUUGGAAGCUGGCUCUGAUUCAUCCGAAGGGAGGAGAUGAUACUGGAAGGACUUCUUAAAUUACCAGAAAAUAAGGAGUGUGCUGAUUGCAAAGCUAAGCAGGCAUCUUUAUAUGCAUGUAGUGCUCAGGAAUACAUCGAAGUCUAGGAGUGCAUACAUCAAAGCUGGAUGAGCUUAGUGUAAGGAAGACUGGCUAUGAUGAUUAACUAGCCAUUGAUGGUAUAAAUCCUCAAGGACCCAUAUUAAGCACUAGUUUAUUUAAUUUGAUCAGAAGCCAUGACAUUACUGGGUUACUUGUGGAAAAUAAUUUCUCAGCAGACCCAAGCACUGGGCCAUUGCAUUGUGAUGAUGUAAUUUAUACCAACACCUCUAAAACCAUGCCUACAUUUUACACAGUUUUGUAGACAGUUGUCUUCCCUUAAAUGGUGGUCUCUCGGCAAAUAGCCUUCAUGAAUUGUUUCUUGACCAAUUUUGUGACGCCUACACUAGCUCAGGGAAAGAGAAACCUUUUGUUAGAGGUGGCAGGGAAGGACCAAUCUGAGAUAGAUGUGACCUUGGGUUCUUUGCUCUGUUUGAAUCAGGUAACUAACUAAUAAUAUCAUUCUUUUUAUUCUGUUUUGAUUAGGUGAAUUCAUAUAAUUUAAUAUUAUCUUCUUCAACCGUUGUUUAUUCAUGUUUACCCGUUCCAGCCAAAUUAUAUAUAUAUAUAUAUAUAUCUAAAUUUAAGAAUUUAGACUUUGUUGUUCAAGACAACGGGUAUUUAAUCUCGGGCAUUUAAUCUAUUUAGAAAGAAACAAAUGAGUAUAUGCAAAGGCAACAAAUGUAUCU